GACGAACGCUGGCGGCGUGCUUAACACAUGCAAGUCGAACGGAAAGGCCCUGCUUUUGUGGGGUGCUCGAGUGGCGAACGGGUGAGUAACACGUGAGUAACCUGCCCUUGACUGUGGGAUAACUUCAGGAAACUGGGGCUAAUACCGGAUAGGAGCUCCUGCUGCAUGGUGGGGGUUGGAAAGUUUCGGCGGUUGGGGAUGGACUCGCGGCUUAUCAGCUUGUUGGUGGGGUAGUGGCUUACCAAGGCUUUGACGGGUAGCCGGCCUGAGAGGGUGACCGGCCACAUUGGGACGGAGAUACGGCCCAGACUCCUACGGGAGGCAGCAGUGGGGAAUAUUGCACAAUGGGCGGAAGCCUGAUGCAGCAACGCCGCGUGCGGGAUGACGGCCUUCGGGUUGUAAACCGCUUUCGCCUGUGACGAAGCGUGAGUGACGGUAAUGGGUAAAGAAGCACCGGCUAACUACGUG
rnacentral:rRNA from 1 species